rnacentral:snRNA from 1 species
CCAUGUUCUGAGCACGGA